AAUCUUCCGCAAUGGACGAAAGUCUGACGGAGCAACGCCGCGUGAGUGAUGAAGGUCUUCGGAUCGUAAAACUCUGUUGUUAGGGAAGAACAAGUAUCGUUCGAAUAGGGCGGUACCUUGACGGUACCUAACCAGAAAGCCACGGCUAACUACGUGCCAGCAGCCGCGGUAAUACGUAGGUGGCAAGCGUUAUCCGGAAUUAUUGGGCGUAAAGCGCGGGCAGGGGGUUUCUUAAGUCGAAGGUGAAAGCCCAGGGCUCAACCGUGGAGGGUAAUUGGAAACUGGGAAGCUUGGGUGAAGAAGAGGAGGGGGAAAUUCAAGGUGUAGCGGGGAAAUGCGUAGGGAAAGGGAGGAAAACCAGGGGCGAAGGCGACUCUCUGGUCGGCAACUGACGCUGAGGCGCGAAAGCGUGGGAGCGAACA
rnacentral:rRNA from 1 species